rnacentral:rRNA from 1 species
GAUGAACGCUAGCGGCAGGCCUAAUACAUGCAAGUCGAACGGUGUCUUCGGACAUAGUGGCGCACGGGUGCGUAACACGUAUGCAACCUACCUUACAUUGGGGGAUAGCCUUUCGAAAGGGAGAUUAAUACCGCAUAAGACAGUAGCUGGGCAUCCAGCAGCUGUUAAAGAUUUAUCGAUGUAAGCUGGGCAUGCGUCCAAUUAGCUAGUUGGUGAGGUAACGGCUCACCAAGGCAAUGAUUGGUAGGGGAGCUGAGAGGUCAAUCCCCCACACUGGCACUGAGAGACGGGCCAGACUCCUACGGGAGGCAGCAGUAGGGAAUAUUGGGCAAUGGACGCAAGUCUGACCCAGCCAUGCCGCGUGCAGGAUGAAGGCGUUAUGCGUUGUAAACUGCUUUUAUACAGGAAGAAACGACUCUUGCGAGAGGCAUUGACGGUACUGUAUGAAUAAGCACCGGCUAACUCCGUGCCAGCCGCCGCAGUAAAAC